AGCGUAAUCACUUGUUCUUUAAAUGAGGACUAGUAUGAAUGGCACCACGAGGGUUGCACUGUCUCCUUUCCCCAAUCAAUGAAACUAAUCUCCCCGUGAAGAAGCGGGGAUACUACUAUAAGACGAGAAGACCCUAUGGAGCUUUAAAUUUCUCUUCAAACGCCAGACACAAGCAUCUGACACUUUACAUUAACCCGACGCCUUGAAGAUGAAUUUUAGGUUGGGGUGACCAUGGAGAACAAAAUAACCUCCACGCUGAAAAGGCCUCUAAGCCUUGAGCCGAGGGCUACAACCCAACGCACUAAAAAAUUAACACCCAUUGACCCAAUAUUUUUGAUCAACGAACCAAGUUACCCUAGGGAUAACAGCGCAAUCUACUUCAAGAGUCCCUAUCGACAAGUGGGUUUACGACC
rnacentral:rRNA from 1 species